UACGAAGGGGGCUAGCGUUGCUCGGAUUGACUGGGCGUAAAGGGCGCGUAGGCGGCUUGUACAGUCAGACGUGAAAUUCCUGGGCUCAACCUGGGGGCUGCGUUUGAUACGUAUGGGCUUGAGUUCGGAAGAGGGUCGUGGAAUUCCCAGUGUAGAGGUGAAAUUCGUAGAUAUUGGGAAGAACACCGGUGGCGAAGGCGGCGACCUGGUCCGAUACUGACGGCUGAGGCGCGAAAGCGUGGGGAGCAAACAGG
rnacentral:rRNA from 1 species